AAUCAUCUAAAAUUUUUCUCGGACAUCCAAUGCGGCCAAAGGAACCAUAGUCACCACCCGACCAUGACCAUAUUACAUUUUUUUGAUGUUUACGGCCAUAUAAUUGGAAAUCUGCGCAAGUCUCAAUGUUUCGUGUGCUAUAGCCCGCGCCUUCUGCCGUGACCCCGGACCCGAAUCGUCUAAAUUUUUUAGGGUAUGGCCAAUGCGGCCAAAGGAACCAUAGUCACUGCCCCUCCAUGACCAAAUUACAAUUUUUCGAAGUUUACAGCCAUAAAAUUGGAAAUCCCUGCGAGUCCCAAUGCUUUGUGUGCUAUAGCCCACGCCUUCUUCCGUGGCUCCGGGCCCCCUACCCGAAUCGCCUAAAAAAUAUCUCGGACAUCUAAUACGGCCAAAGGAACCACAGUUACCGCCCGGCCAUGACCAAAUUACAUUAUUAGGAUGUAUACGGCCAUAAAAUUAGAAAUCCGAGCGAGUCCUAAUGUUUCGUGUGCUAAAGCCCAUGCUUUAUUCCGUGGCCCCGGGCCCCCGAACCCGAAUCGUCUAAAAUUUUUCUCGGACA
rnacentral:lncRNA from 1 species